AGUGAACGCUGGCGGUAGGCCUAACACAUGCGAGUCGAACGGCAGCACAGUAAGAGCUUGCUCUUACGGGUGGCGAGUGGCGGAAGGGUGAGGAAUACAUCGGACUCUACUUUUUCGUGGGGGAUAACGUAGGGAAACUUACGCUAAUACCGCAUACGACCUACGGGUGAAAGCAUGGGAUCUUCGGACCUUGCGCGAUUGAAUGCGCCGAUGUCGGAUUAGCUAGUUGGCGGGGUAAUGGCCCACCCAGGCGCCGAUACGUAGCUGGUCGGAGAGGAUGGUCAGCCACACUGGAACUGAGACACGGUCAAGACUCCUACGGGAGGCAGCAGUGGGGAAUAUGGGACAAUGGGCGCAAGCCUGAUCCAGCCAUACCGCGUGUGUGAAGAAGGCCUUCGGGUUGUAAAGCCCUUUUGUUGGGAAAGAAAAGCAGCAGGUUAAUACCCCGCUGUUCUGACGGUACCCAAAGAAUAAGCACCGGCUAACUUCGUG
rnacentral:rRNA from 1 species